rnacentral:tRNA from 1 species
CUGGGGUUGUGCUCAGUGGUAGGGUGUUUGCCUAGCAUGCAUGAGGCACUGUGUUCAAUCCUCAGCACCACAUA